GAUGAAGAACGCAGCGAACUGCGAUAAGUAAUGUGAAUUGCAGAAUUCAGUGAAUCAUCGAGUCUUUGAACGCACAUUGCGCCCCCUGGCAUUCCGGGGGGCAUGCCUGUCCGAGCGUCAUUGCUGCCCUUCAAGCCCGGCUUGUGUGUUGGGUCGUCGUCCCCCCCGGGGGACGGGCCCGAAAGGCAGCGGCGGCACCGCGUCCGGUCCUCGAGCGUAUGGGGCUUUGUCACCCGCUCGAUUAGGGCCGGCCGGGCGCCAGCCGGCGUCUCCAACCUUCUAUUUUACCAGGUUGACCUCGGAUCAGGUAGGGAUACCCGCUGAACUUAAGCAUACAAUAAGCGGAGGA
rnacentral:misc_RNA from 1 species